AACGAACGCUGGCGGCAGGCUUAACACAUGCAAGUCGAACGGGUGUAGCAAUACAUCAGUGGCAGACGGGUGAGUAACACGUGGGAACCUUCCUAGAGGUACGGAACAACUCAGGGAAACUUGAGCUAAUACCGUAUAAGCUCUUGCGAGGAAAGAUUUAUCGCCUUUAGACGGGCCCGCGUAGGAUUAGGUAGUUGGUGGGGUAAUGGACUACCAAGCCUACGAUCCUUAGCUGAUCUGAGAGGAUGAUCAGCCACACUGGGACUGAGACACGGCCCAGACCCCUACGGGAGGCAGCAGUGGGGAAUCUUGGACAAUGGGCGCAAGCCUGAUCCAGCCAUGCCGCGUGAGUGAAGAAGGCCUUCGGGUUGUAAAGCUCUUUUACCAGGGACGAUAAUGACGGUACCUGGAGAAUAAGCCCCGGCAAACUUCGUGCCAGCCGCCGCCGUAA
rnacentral:rRNA from 1 species